AACAAGUACUUGCACACUUUGCAUCCAAUCAAUUGUUUAUAACUUAAAUCAUAUAUAUAUACACCAUCUUUCAAUAUGCAAAAGCAAGAAAACCAAGUAAACCAACCUCCUCUAGGCUAUCCCAUUGAAUUUACUCCAAAUGAGAACAAAAAGAAGAAGAUGAAAGGCUGGCCAAGAAGUAAGCCAAGAGGAGAAAGAGGGUUCUUGGAAGGAUGCCUCUUUGCAUUGUGUUGCUGCUGGCUAUGUGAAGUUUGUUUUGACUAAACCUUUGGGGGGAUAUGACUCAUCUAAAGGAAUCAACUUGUGUUUGUCUAUUCAACUAGUGAUGCAAUAUGUACUACUAUAUGUGAUCCUUCACUUUUGCCCUUUAACUAUGUAACAAAAUAUGUUGUUAUAAUUUGAGACUUUGUAUUGAUGAAGUUUAUAUAUUUCUUUCUUGUUUAAUGAAUAAUAUGGUUCUUGUAUUCCCUCCUC